AGUGACUAAUAGCAAACGUGUGUCUGCUAAAACUAUAAAACGCUGCAUUUCGGGGCUUUGCGCGUUAAAUUCCGCGCUCCGCCGUCAUUUAUGGGGCCUAAAAGUUCCCAGGCAGCGUCCAGCCGUAGCUCCCCUCCCUCUCGCCGCUGUGAUGGUUUGAAUACAGGCUUCUUCUUCGGGGGGUUACAUAAACUAAUCGUGUCGCCCAGCACGGUGAGUGAGAGGCUCCUCGACUGCAGGCCGGAUUAACGCGGAUUAUCUCGCCUCAGUAUCUGCGUGACCACACGUGCGAAACAGACUUGAACGGUAAUGCAAAACUUGGAGACCAGGAACAUGCCUGAGCGUUAAAAGUGGACCCCGGCCGUGGACGCAUCACUCAGGCCACUGGCUCAGCAGAGCUGAGUCCACCGGAUCUGUGGAUGCAGGCGAGGUAAAGCGCAGACCGGACUGAAGGGCGUUCCGUUACCGCUGAUUCAGCACAAGACUUUUAUCAAGAACUCUACACACUUGACAUGUUGCAAAAAAGACAACGAAGAGAAGACUUUUAUCAAGAAAACUACAAAACUUGACAUGUUGCAAAAAAGACAAUGAAGAGAAGACUUUUAUCAAAAAACUCUACAAACUUGACAUGUUGCGAAAUGAGUUGUUGGACCAUAUGGUGCAAUAAGUUGUUGUCUGCCGAGAUCCCUUUUGAAGAUAUUUUUGAAGUUAUUUUGAUACGUAUUUCAAGUAAAAAUUUUUUUAUUUCUCUAUUCUUAAUAUUUUUGAAGGACUUUUAUCAAGAACUUUAAACUUUUUAUAAUUGAGUGAAAAAGAGAAGUAGAGAAAUAAAUUUUUGUUGGACUAUACUUUAGUGGUGUGCUAAGUUUUGGUACUUGUUUUUAUUUUUUUAUACUAAAUUUUUAAAGGACUUUUAUCAAAAAGUCUACAAUCUAAACAUGUUGCAGAAAAAAAUGAAAGAGAAGUAAGUUGAUGGAAUAUGUGUUGGCUAGACCACUUUUGAUUGUGAAAAUGACUUUUUAAGGACUUUUAUCAAGAACUCCACUUAUUUUACUUGAAUGACUGAAAAAGAAAAACAAAAGAAGUAAAUUGUUGUUGGAUUCUACUUCAGUGGUCUACCUAGCAAGAGGAAAUUCUCCUAAGAGAACACCAGUCAGCAAAAAGGAAUCUACUCUUUUUUUGUGUGCUGAUCAGAAGGAGUUUCUCAAAGAGGAGGAAAAAAAAAU
ensembl:lncRNA